rnacentral:lncRNA from 1 species
CUCUGGGCUCCAUACAAAAUCACACAAAGGUGCAGUGCUGUGCAGGAAAGGUUCGUGUCCUAAGAAAAUAGUUUCAUCUCAGCACUCAGCGGAAGCUGCCCUUGCUGCUGUGCGGGUGUCUUCUGAUGAGGCCUUGGCCAUCCGGGAACGCGGGGUCCAGGGAGGCCACUUUGGAGGCCAUGAAGGCGUGGACACAGUGCAGCACGGCCGGCAGGUCCUGGAACUCGAGCUCCUGGGGAAAAGGGGUGCGCUUUAUGGGGACACUCAACACACGCGGGGGCUCCGAGAACAACUGCAUGAGAGCAAAGGCUACAGGGAGCAGGUGCUCAGAGUGAGGGCGAGCAGUGCAGUCACCCGUGGACUUAACGUGCUGAGGACCUCCUGGGUUUCCACCUGACAGCGUGGAAACUGCCCGCUCCUCGAGGCCAGCAUAGGUCAGAGUGCACCGCCCUGCUGCUCCCUCACCAGAGACUGCUCUCUGAGCUCCGCCUCCGCAGCUCCUGCAGCUCAGCCCUCAGGCACUGUGGCGUGGCCGCGACCUGUGACCCAGCAGAACUUCCCUGCCCGCCCCAGCUGCACGGUGCUCCACACACAAGGCCAUCUUUGGAAGCACGGGACAGCCCCCAGCGAGCCCAGGGCUUCCCACAGGAUGUCCCCAUGCCAAGCCAACAAAGUGAUGAAGAACCUCAAAGCCAAAGUGAAGCAGCUUCUAGCAGUGCAGCUGGGAAAGCAGACCCUGUGUGCUCCUGGGAUUUGAAGCUUCCGUCCUGCUUUCUGUCCCACCCAGCAGAAACCGGGCUCUGAGCACUUUCUCUCUCCUGUGUCGGAUGACUGAAUUCUGAUGGGACCAAGUGAGACAUGCUUCCCUUCAAAGUGGCUGCUAAGGGACUGGCAUCUUGUCUACUGACUUUCCCAAAACGCUGACUGCUAAGCAGCUGCAAUGACACCAGCGGAAAGGCUGGCAGCAUUUCCCGGAGGACAACCACCCUGGCAUGCUGGUGCACACCCAUUGCACACCCAGUGUGCAUGCACGCCCGGCACUCCCCAUGCAGAAUCUCCGGCAAUGGCUCAGAAUCCAG